GGGCCCGCACAAGCAGUGGAGCAUGUGGUUUAAUUCGAUGCAACGCGAAGAACCUUACCAGGCCUUGACAUCCUCGGAACUUUCUAGAGAUAGAUUGGUGCCUUCGGGAACCGAGUGACAGGUGCUGCAUGGCUGUCGUCAGCUCGUGUCGUGAGAUGUUGGGUUAAGUCCCGUAACGAGCGCAACCCUUGUCCUUAGUUGCCAGCACAUUAUGGUGGGAACUCUAAGGAGACUGCCGGUGACAAACCGGAGGAAGGUGGGACGACGUCAAGUCAUCAUGGCCCUUAUGUGUUGGGCUACACACGUGCUACAAUGGUACUUACAAUGGGAAGCAAAGACGCAAGUCCUAGCCAAUCCCUAAAUGUACCUCAGUUCGGAUUGUACUCUGUAACUCGAGUGCAUG
rnacentral:rRNA from 1 species